AUGAAGAACCGGGCUGCCUCAGGUAAAGCCAUCGCCCCUGCAGGGGAGGGUGCGCAAGCAAAUGCCCCUGUGUUGCUGAGCCCUUCUGCCAAGGGCAAAGGUCCCGUCGCAGCCGCGGGAAAAGCAGGACUUUGUGCUGCAGGCAGAGCCACCCAGAGCCAGGCUGUGCCCCCAGCACCUGGCAAAGGGCAGGAGAGCCCGGACAGCAGCAGUUCCUCCGAUAGCGAGGAGGAGGACACGGCCAAGCAGUCCUCGAGGCCUGCAGGGGCACCCCAGAAACAGGGAGCGACGAAGGAGGCCGACAGCACCUCAUCGGAGUCCAACAAGGAAGAGCAGCAGCUUUCGCAGUCCCUUCUAAUAGGCUAUCUAGGUCUUUCUAAAGCUCCAGCAGCACCCCAAGUGCAAACACCUGCUUCCCUGACCUCACCCAACGCAGGACGUAGAAAAGCAGCAGCUGCUGCCAGCACCCUCACCAAACCUGGGAAAGCAGCGCUGCCUGACGUCUCGGAGAGUGACAGCAGUGACUCUGAUACGGAUGCUGAGAAGACGUCAGCCAAACAGACGGCAGAGAGCAAGUCGUCCUCUUCUGGGGAGGUAGCGGUCACCACAAAAGUGGCCUCUAGCCAAGAGACUGCAGCAGGGAAAGCGGGCGAAAGAGGCACCAGUCUCAAAGCCUCACGGGCAAAGAAAGCCCUGGUGGUGACUCAGAAUGCUGGUGGUCCUAAGGGCUCUCCAGGGACGCCGUCGCCGUAUGCUCUGCUGUCCAUCGCUCAGUCGGAGCAGGAGAGCUCCGUGAGCGACAGCGAAGACAGGGUUACUACUGCUGCCAAGGCUCCGGGCGGGCAAGCGCCAGGGGAGCUGGAGGGGGGGAAGAAGGAGCAGAAGGCAGUGAAGAACACCCCCGCAGCAUCAGCCAAGGCUCUGAAAGCAACGAAAGCACCAAAGCUUGGGGACAAAGAGAACAAGAAGCAGAAAUCCUCCGUGAAAAGGAAGCUGGCAGCAGGGGAUGCCAGCCCCGCGAAGCCCAAGCCGAAGAAGCUGAAAAGUGGCCUCGAGACUCCCAAAAAGAAGAAAAGCCAAGGGGAGAGAGCAGCGGGCAGCAAGGAGAAGAAGAAGAAAGCCAGUAAAAAGAAGAAGACUGUGAAAGACAAGAAGAAGAAAAGCAAGAAGGCUGCAGCUGGAGUGGAGCCAAGCACGGACGGGUCUGCUUCCACCCCCCAAAAGAAGAAGAAGAAGAAGAAAGCUGCUGAGCUCGAGGGAUCCUUGGGAGAAGAGCACCUCCCUCGGACGGCCGACAACGAAUGA
rnacentral:lncRNA from 1 species